rnacentral:ncRNA from 1 species
UAAAGGUUUGGUCCCAGCCUUACUAUCAAGUAUUUCUUGAUUUACACAUGCAAGUCUCAGCACACCAGUGAGGACGCCCUAACCUCUACCCCAGACAAAGGAGCUGAUAUCAGGCACAGAACCCUUGCCCACAACAUCUGGUCCCACCACACCCAUACGGGUAAUCAGCAGUGAUAAAACUUGUUUAUAAGCGCCAGCUUGAAUCAGUUAAAGAAAAGAGGGCCGGCCAACCUAGUGCCAGCCGCCGCGGCUACACCCAGAGGCCCAAAUUGAUAGUUUCCGGCGUUAAGCGUGGUUAGAGCUUAAACUAAUUAGAGUCAAAUAUAAUCACGGCAGUGUAAAGCUUGAUACUUAGAAGACCAAAAACGAAAGUUACUCUAAUUUUCUUGAAUCCACGACAGCUAGGACCACAAACUGGAAUUAGGUACUCCACUAUGCCUAGCCGUAAAAAAUUAACUCACACUAAAAAACGCCUGGGGAUUACGAGCGCAAGCUUAAAACCCAAAGGACUUGACGGUGUCCCACCCACCUAGAGGAGCCUGUUCUAUAAUCGAUGAUCCACGAUAUACCUCACCAUUUUUUGCCUUUUCCAGCCUGUAUACCUCCGUCGGCAGCUUACCAUGUGAGUGCUAUAAGUGGGCCUAAUGGUCUAUACACCAGCACGUCAGGUCAAGGUGCAGCCUAUAAAAUGGAAAGCAAUGGGCUACAAUUUCUAACUUAGAACAAACAUAAACUACAUGAAACACCGGCAUGAAGGCGGAUUUAGUAGUAAAAGAAGAACAGCAAGCUUCUUUAAAUAAGGCUCUGGGACGUGUACAAACCGCCCGUCACCCUCCUCAACAGCACCUUCCUUAAUUUUUAAUACUUAGACAGCACCCUAGAGGAGGUAAGUCGUAACACGGUAAGUGUACUGGAAAGUGCACUUGGUUAAA